rnacentral:lncRNA from 1 species
UAAUUUCUCCUACUUAAAAUUUAAUAACCUCUGUUCUACAGGCGGGCUCCUGACUUCUUUAAUACGACAACCUACAUUCUACAGGCGGGCUCCUAAUUUAAACAACUUAAAAAUAACACCUCUGUUCUACGAGCGGGCUCUCGACUUCAACUGCGACUUAAAAUUUAGCAACCUCCAUUCUAACAGGCGGGCACCUGAUUUUCUCAACAUAAAAUGUAGCAAGCAUCCAUUCUACAGGCAGGCUCAUG